rnacentral:ncRNA from 2 species
UUAAAGCAUCAAGAGCGAUGGAUACAUCCAUCCGGCAACCGAGUCGAUAAAAAGACCGCGGUGCCAUUCGUCUCACGAGAUGCGGCCUAUGGGCAAAAAUUAUUUUUUUA